CUACGUGACGUGAGCAUUCAAUAAUCAUCCUACACAUAUGCUGAUGUGAGCAUUCAAAAUCAUUAGAAUGAUUUAAUUGAAGACUCAACGUACGGACGUCUUUUUCACUUAGAUUCCCUUCCCGUACAAACUUGCAUCAGUUCCUCCACGACCCCAUCAAUCUCUUCAUCCUCUUUCUUGUUCAUGUUGUCUCUUAUUUUCAAUGCCUUUUUUCUCACUCCCUCUCCAAUUUUCUCCACAAAAACAUCUCUAAUCACCUUUGCGACCUCUUCUCUUUGCAAACUUCCUUCACCUGUUCUCUUAACCUCAACACCAACACCCACCUCCUCCACUAGUCUAGCGUUGAUCGGCUGGUCAAGAUGCAUAGGCAUGGCUAUAAUUGGAACACCAAACUUGAUGCUCUCCAACACUGAGUUCCAUCCGCAGUGACUCACAAACCCCCCAACACUAGAAUGCUGCAGUAUCUUUGCCUGUGGGGCCCAACCCUCCAUUAUCACUCCCUUCUCUCCCACCCUCUGUAAAAACCCUUCUGGUAACACCUCUUCAACCCUAGUAUUUUUCUCCUCCUUAGAAAAUCUUAUAACCCAAAUGAAGCUCACUUUGCUAAGCUCUAAUCCGUGAGCUAUCUCUUCUAUUUGCUCCUUGGACAGAAAGUACUCACUGCCAAAGCAUACAUACACUACAGAAGACCUUUCCAUUUUGUUCAGCCAUUUCAUGAUCCAUGUUUCCUCAUCAACUUUUUGAUCCACUGGCUCUUGAACAAGCGUGCCAACAGGCACGAUCUUUUUCCCCAUUAAAUCAGAGAGAUAAUCAAUAUAUUUUUCUUCAAUCCCCCUGGAUGUCUUUACCAAAAUGAUGUUACAAGAUCGAGCACUGCAUUGCUGAACACGGUCUCCAUCUUUGAUGCCAUUUGCUGAAGAUUCCAACACGUUGUUGAACUUUUCAGCUUCGUAAUCUUGAAGAUAAAUCGAAGGAAAAGGAAACUUGACACUAGGGUUCUUGAGAUGUUGAAUACUAAAUGAAGUAAAGGCAGCACCCAUGGUGAUGAAUUCGAUGGAUGGAAAAUUUUGCAAUGAAGCUAGAGAGGGCGCCCAUGGUUGAAGAAAAUCAUAUAUGAGCAAAUCUGGGCUUAGGGUUUUGAGGAUGUUGGAGAAGUUGUUGCUGGACAUAUCAAAGGCCCUUUUGAGAGUGGACAUGAGAUGGGGAGGGAGGCCAUUGGUGGUAUGGUAGUGAGGUGGGAGUUCAGGCAAGUCAUCAUGUGGAAGAUGGAGUUCCACAAAUUCAAUGCAAUGAGAAUAUUUUUGGGAGAGUUUAGGCUUGAUGGAGCUGAGAUUUACAGGCGUGGAACAAAUAAAGAUGUGAAAAUUUCUCUUGGUGGUCAGCUUCUUGGCUAGCUCUAGGUAGGGAGAUAUAUGGCCGUGAGCUAGCCAUGGAAGCAUAAGAAUAGUAAGUUUUCUUUGGUCAGAGUAAACCAUAUUUUGUUUUCCUUUCACUCUUUUGCUUGAGGUUGCUCGAUUAUAGGCUUAUUGGUAGUUUUUUUGUAGCUAGCUCUAUGCAUAUAUAUAUAUAUAUACACACACAUUCAUGGGAAAAGAGGCUUGGGGAUGGGAAAUCAAUUGAUUUCCUAUGUUUGGUAAAGUUCGGGUAUGAGAAAUCGUUGCUUUGCACAUGAGAAAGUAGAGGGGAAAGUGAAGCCCUCCUCCUUCCUUAGGUUUUGUUUUCCUCCUCAUGGGAAAGUUUGGGAAAAUGAGCUAAUAUUAAAUACAUAUUUUUCAUGACCAUAUUAUCCCCAUUAAUAAUUUAGAAUUACAUAAAUGCAUUCUAUUUUUAUUUGAUUUCAUAUGGGUAUAAUUGAAAAAUUAAACAAAUUUUGUUUUACAUUCCUACACAAACCAAACAUGUGAAAGGAAAUAAAGUGGUAUUUCUUGGUUACUUUCCCAAGAUUACCAAACAUAGGAAAGGAAUCUCUAUUUCCCAUCCCUUAGAAAAUGACUUGGAAAGUAAUUUCUCCUCAAAUUCGUUCCGUGAACCAAACGGAACCUGCAUAAUAGAAGUUCCAAAAAAACACGUGAUGAUUGGAUCAUGCAUAUGUAAGUUCCCGAGUGAUGAUUGGAACAAGUUCCUAAUGAUAAAGACUCGAAACAAGAAUAGUUUAAACUUUCUUCUUUGUUUGGCUUGAUAUAAGACGAAUGCACCAAACAAACCGACUAAUUGCUGGCACAAUAUAAAUUGGGGCUACAAUUACCUAAUAAUUAGGUACUAAGGGCUACAAUUACCUAAUAAUAUCAACUUUCAUUAUACAGAUUUGAGAAACAAAAAGUUCAACUUUGAUGACAAGCGAUAUUAAAGGAGGGCGUAAUCAAACUUAGGAUCUUGAGUGUAGAAAUAAAUACUUUUAACAACUUGAGCUACAAGCCUUUUGUAAUAUUAAUGAUAUUUUAAUUAUACGUUUGAAUAGUUCGCUUCCUUCUCUUUUAUUUUCAUUUGUUUAUAUUUAACUCUAAUUUUAUUUAUAUUUUUGGUCAAGGUAAAAAGACUUUGAAUCUCUCUCCAAUGAUUUUCACAGCCGAAACUCCUUUAGUUUCCACAAAUAUUUUUUAAUAUUUCAUGCAUUUGUAAGUUUCCGACUCGGAUGGUUCAUGUAACCAAGAAGUUUAAACUUGUUUUUGCUUGUUCCGCCGACGAAAGCGCAACAAAAGGACAAACUACAACCAAUACUUCUAGUAUCACCAGUUCUCAUUGAAUUUGUUGCCGUGAAUGUUUAGGAUUCUGCCCAAACUAGUAUUUGCGUUUCUGAAUUGUUUGAAAACACAUAUGAAAUUAUGAUUUCUCCUCCCCAGAAGACAAAUUGACGAAGAAGUAUCAUGAUUUUGAUGACACAAAUUAGAAUCCAGGGUUUUCGAAGUGCCUAAUGGACAACUAUUAAUUUAGAAAUAUAUAUAUUUUUUUCGCAAUGCAGAAACACAUAAAUCCCAAGUUUGAAUUCAUCCUAUUUUUGUUUUUGUUUUUUCCUUUUUUAACCCAGAAGAAAAAUUGAGUGCCACUCUGCUAUGUAGAAUGCAAGUUUUAGUUUAGAUUUUUUUUUCUUUUUAGUCUCUUAUUCUACAUUUAGAUCUCAUAUAUUUACUCGCAUUUUAUUAAAUCUAAGUCAUUCAAACAAUCUGACCACUUAACAAAUUACAAGUACUCAAACUUAAAAUCAGAUUGGAUGGACAUGAGGCUUACACUGAUGAUUCUACACGUGCUGAGAAUAGUCCUUUUAUUUCUUUAUUAUUUUCUUGGUCGGGACUCGAGAGACAGGUGUAGUGUAGCGAUGGAGACGAGGCCCGCAAGACAUAAAAGUCUGAAGAAGAGAAGCGUGAAAGCUUCAUUUAGACAGUUAAGUGCAUACGUAACGUAAAGAUUCAAAGACUAUGUCCCUCUCCAAACAGGGAAAGAUCUGAGUUGAAAGCAACAAACUACAGUCACAAUAGGAAAGCAUCUACAACGUAAAGAAAAUAAGUUUACCAGAAGCAUCGGAAAGAUCUAGAGUCUGAAGAAGAGAUACUGAAGUAAUUGUUCAUCGACUGAGCUUAAAUGAAAUAUUAACUCUUUGUUGUGCCAUAAGCACAAGAUCUUAAGAAAAAAAUUCAAGAUAAACCAUAUAAUAUUUUCUAACCCACAAAAUAAUAUAGAAAAUAAAUGCAAGAACAAGAGAAUAGCAAGACACAACGAGGCUGCUUACAAUCAGUGUAAAUGAGCAAACAAAUUCACCAUCAACAAAUUAGCAUGCUUAUGAAGUGUUUUGCAACCUCACAAACCAAGGCGCCAUAUACACCAAAUGACUCUCACUGAAAAACUAAACAAAGAAACACACUCACACUAAUGAAAGCAACGUUACAAGGUAGGAGAUUGAAUAUUACAUUUACAAUACACUCAUAAGUUACAAAAACUAAUUACAAAUAUUUAGCGCAUAGGUUACAUAGAACUGAAAGGGUGGAAUGAUAAGAGCUAUGGUGGUCAUCCACCAACUCAUGCAUUUACAACACCGCCUCUUGAAUGUCCACCAUACAAUACAAUGAUAUAGUUGCGUCAUUAAACACUUUGCUUGAAAAACUAUAUGGGACAAAACUUAGGCUACGGGAAAAAGAGUGCAACACAAAUAAUAUUGAUAUCACAUUUGUCUCUCCUACGGAAUGAGCUUUGGUGAUGUUUGUAUAAAAAUUGCGUACAAACCAUUAUUGGAAGAUUGGGCUAGAGUGGGCUUUACCCUAGUGUUGACUUUGGAAAGAGACAAAUUAGGCUUAGUUGUGUAAAUUCAAUCCAAAAAAAAAUUAAAUAAUAGCCCACAUCUACAGCCAAAUACUUUAAUACUUUAAUUACUAAAGUUUUUUUUUCUUUCUCUCUCUUCUUUGGUUUAUUCAGCUUUUGAUUUGGCUCAAAUAAUGUUUAUAUCUCUCUUUGAUUUUGUUUUUUCAAAUUUAUUGAUGUUGCUUCUUUUGAAAAUUUUGAAAUAUGGACCCUCCCUAACUAAACCACUCCAUUGAGCAAAAGCCCUUGAGCUUCAAAUUUAUCUUCGUCUGAGCCUCUGAAUUUUGGUUUUUUUUAGGUUUUUUUUGUUUGUUGUAGGUUUCUUUGUUCACAUAUCUCUCUAAAAAUAGUAUUUUUCUUAAUGAAUUCUGAAAAUAGUUUUUAAUUUGAAGGAAAUAUACGGAAUUAGUAAAAAAGUAUACCACUUUCAUUAAUCUGAAGGAAAUAUUGCUUUAUAUAUAUUUGUUUAAAAAUAGGGCUUAUAAUUGAUCUCAAAAAAAAAAAAAAAACAAAUAGCCCACCCCUGUAAAUAUUCCUUAGUCCGCCAUUGCAUGGCAUAAUAUUUGGUAUGCUAUGCUAGCAUCUCAUAAGCUCUUCAAGAGACCUGAAUUUUAUGAUAACUUCUUAAAAAAUUUGAAUACAUUUCAACGAUAUUAAACUUGAAUUUGAACUCAUAAUUCAAUCAAAGUACUCAUUGAGGCAAUUUAGAUCAUUUUCAUUUUAAAAAAAUUGGGUGCACACAUUGAGCUUCAUGCUCUUUACCUUCUUAGAGAUUUUAUUUGAGGAAUUUAUAUUGCAUCACAUAUUACAUCUCUUAGGAUUUGUUCUUAUUAUGUAUUCUUUAAGAGAUCUAUUCUUGCAAUAUGCUUCAAACACUUCAUAAUCUUUAUGAAUUUUUCAUGUAGAUUUAAGGUCUCCAUGAAUAUUGAGAUUGAAACAAGGAGUAAAAGAGUUAAAAGUUUAAGAAAUUUUUUCCCUGAUUAUUUUGUAAUUAUAAUGUUGGUGAAAAUCCAAUUUCCUUUCUAGAAUUUGUGAAAUUUGUUAUUUGGCUAAGCUAAAAGUAUAAUUUUGACAAUAAAAAGCAUAUGAAAGUUUCUCUUUGGUUGGCUUCUUGGCUAGCUCUAGGAACGGACAGUGUGGCCAUGAGAUAACCAUGGAAGUAUAAUAAGAAUGCUUGGAUGCUGUGAACAAUCCAUUUUCUGACUCUUUUUCUUGAGGUGGUUGUUUUCUUAUGGCCCAUCAGAGUUUAUGGUCGACAGAUAAGCUUCAAACACAUGCAUUGGUCGUGUCAGUUGCGAUAAACUCUUCCCAACAAUCAACAAUUUCUAAGGUAAUAUCAUCAUUCAAUCAUGUGCUGAAUUUAGAAUUGUUUUCAAAUCAAGGAUUUGUUUUGGAACUCAGAUUUUAAAACAAUUAAAAUUUAAUUGGGAAGACUUUUUGUUUAAAGGAAGUUCGUUUCAAUUCAAAAAAUAAUUUUUCAGUUUUUCAACUCAAAAGUCUUCUCAGUUUUCUUAUUUUUCUUAUUGGCGAGUUUCUUGGUUAACUCUAGGAAGGGAGAUAUGUGGCCAUGAGCUAACCAUGGAAGCAUAAGAACGCUGACCAUGCUUGGAUUUUGAGAAGACUUCCUCUUUUUUUUUUCCCUGACUCUUCUUCUUGAGGCGGUGGUUGGCUUAUGGCCUCAUAAUAGUUUGGUGUUUUUGGAGAUCAUAUGGUGAUGAUCUGAUGGAGAUGAGUCAUAGUUUGUGCUAGUGCAUACGUAAUUCCAAUUUCCUGAUUCAGAUGGGAUAAACUCUUCCAACAAAUUAAGACUCUUAUCAUGCAUACACAUAAGAAGUGGAAAUUUGCUUCUGUCUUAGUUUGGCCUUGAUAUAGGACAGCUCAUAGGAAAGCAUCCAAAACAAUAUUCUUUUUAUUUUUUUUAUUUGAAUACAAGCGAUAUUAGGAGUGUGGGGAUUUGAACACAUGAUUUAGGGUACAGGGUAAUGCUCUUAACUAUAUGAGUUACAAGUCCCUUGCAAACAGUCUGAAAUACUAAAAAUAAAAAAUAGAUGCUCAUCCAUAUGCACUGUCAUGCCCCAACCCUUGGAUUUACAAAACCUUGUGUUAAGACGUGAUUCACACCUUAAUUAUAGAAUUUAAUAAAAACUAUAACUAAAAUGUGAAGAAAACAUUUAAAUAAAUAAAAUAAAUAUUUCACAUAGAAUAUUCAGUGGAAAUGACAACAUGUGAAAUCUUAAAAAUUUUACAUUAUCUUACAAGUUGGCGUGACUUGUGGAUAUUGACUUACUUUCCUUACACACCAAGAAUUCCUAUUAUAAUUGUAAUUGAUUUACUUUAAUUCAUGAUUUCCUACUGUAAAUAGAUUUAAGAAUUUAUUAUUUACUUGCCCAUUCAGGUUUCGUUGUAUUAUAAAUAUGACCUCCUACAAGGAGAAGAACAUACAGAAAAUUCCCACAAACAAAUAUUCUCUCAUAGUUUUCAUAUUUUAGCAUGGUAUCAGAGCGGCAAUCUUGGAAUUGCUGACUCUAGUUUCAAACCCCCGCCGCCGCUAUGGGGGUUGAUGAUUUUUUCAACCAUCAUGGAGGUAGCACCAUCGACUCCUUCUCUCAUUCUCAACUAACCAUCGUUGAGUUGAGUGCCCAGAUGGCUCCGCUCCUACAGAUGCAGACUUUGACCCCAAACCCGAUCCAGAAUCAGGAUCUUCUUUCGACAACCACGACCCCGAUCUCGACUAUGACAACGACGACCCCGACCCCUACUCUGAAGAUGACCCCGACCCCCACUCCGAUGACCCCAACCCCGAAUUUGUCUCUGAUUCAGAACCCGAUCCCGAUUUCGACUCCGACUCCGGCCUCGACUCAGGCUCAGAUUUCGAUCCAAAUUCCUACUCAACUUAUAUCCUAUGCAUCUUCCGCUGCACAGAUUAUGACUUCUAGACUAACGACCCCGACAUAUGGACCAGAUUGCACAUAUUGUGGUGAUCCGAGACACACUUGUGAGACUUGUUUUAAAUCGCAUGGCUACCCCGAUUGGUGGGCUAUUCUUACAGAUCAAGGACAAUGCACCAGUAAUGGUACUGGUUAUGGAUUCCAUACUUCCGAUAAGAUUGAUUCCAGGAGCUGGAUAAUUGAUUCUGGUGCAACUGAUCAUAUGACGUUUGAUCCUGAUGAUUUUCUGAAUACUACACAACCUCGACGAACUUGUAUUGCAAAUGCCAAUGGUGUUACUUAUCCUGUGACAGGGGCUGGCACUGUUGCACUCUCAUCCUCUCUCACACUGUCUAAUACUUUACUUGUUCCAUUUUUAUCCACUAAAUUGUUGUUAGUUAGUCAGCUUACUAAACAAUUGAAGUGUUGUGUACUCAUUUACCUGAGUUUUUGUUUGCUUCAGGAUAUUCACACUAAGGAGAUUCUUGGUCGUGGUACUAAGAGAGGGGGGCUAUAUUAUGUCGAUGACUUCAGUUCCGGCGUGCCUAACAGUGUGACACAUCCCUUUGAUAGCAAACAAAAGCAAAUUUGGUUGUGGCACCUUCGAUUGGGACAUCCGUCUUUCAGUUAUAUGAAGCAUCUUAUACCAGAUUUAUUCUUAGGUUUCAAGGACUCCGACUUCACAUGUGAUACUUGUAUUUUGGCUAACAGUCACCGUGUGCCCUACCUGUUGAGUACGAACAAGUGUACUUGUAAGAUCCCACAUCAACCAACGGAGAGGGGGUGAUGUGCCUUAUAUAUGCACACCUGCAUCCAUCUAGCACGAGGCCUUUUGGGAGCUCACUGGCUUCGGAGUCGUAGGAACUCCGAAGUUAAGCGAGUUGGGGGCUAGAGCAAUCCCAGGAUGGGUGAUCCACUGGGAAGUUGCUCGUGAGCUCCUAGAAACAAAACCGUGAGGGCAGAGAGAGGGGCCCAAAGCGGACAAUAUCGUGCUACGGCGGAGUUGAUCCCGAGAUGUGACAAUUUGGUAUCAGAGCCACUCUGCCGUGUGGUGCGAAUGUGCCGACGAGGACUUCGGGCCCUUAAGGGGGGUGGAUUGUAAGAUCCCACAUCAACCAACGGAGAGGGGGUGAUGUGCCUUAUAUAUGCACACCUGCAUCCAUCUAGCAUGAGACCUUUUGGGAGCUCACUGGCUUCGGAGUUGUAGGAACUCCGACGUUAAGCGAGUUGGGGGCUAGAGCAAUCCCAGGAUGGGUGACCCACUGGGAAGUUGCUCGUGAGUUCCCAGAAACAAAACCGUGAGGGCCAGAGAGGGGGGCCCAAAGCUGAUAAUAUCGUGCUACGGCGGAGCCGAUCCCGGGAUGUGACAAUUGUACUACUCCAUUUACGUUAAUUCACUCUGAUGUCUUGGGACCUUCGCCUAUCACUGCUCCUUCUGGUGUUCGAUGGUUUGUCACAUUCAUCGAUGAUUGUAUACAGAUGACAUGGCUUUAUUUGCUGAAGAAUAAAAACGAAGUGUUUUCCCGUUUUCAGUCCUUCCACAAACAGAUGAAAACUCAGUUUAAUGCUCAAAUCCAGAUUCUUCGCUCAGACAAUGGUGGAGAAUUUGUCAAUCAUGACUUUCAGACUUACUUCCAACAACAUGGAAUUAUCCAUGAGACGACUUGUCCUCAGACACCACAACAAAAUUGUGUUGUUGAACGAAAGAAUUGACAUCUUCUUGAAACCGCCCAAGCACUUCUGAUUGGCGCUCAUGUUCCUCGCUAUCACUGGGAUGAUGCUAUUGUCACCGCAGUUCACCUGAUCAACCGCAUGCCUUCUGGUGUAUUGACCUUUAAAACUCCCUUACAGGUGCUUGCGCAACACAGACCUCUGCUCUCUGUUUUGGUACUCACACCCCGAAUCUUUGGAUGUGUGGCUUUCGUUCAUCUCCACAAAAAUCAACGUAGCAAACUUGAUCCCUGUGCGCUUCGUUGUGUUUUUAUAGGUUAUGCCACUCAUCAGAAAGGCUACCGUUGUUAUCACCCUCCUACCCAACGAACCUAUGUCACUUUGGAUGUGACCUUUCUGGAAUCUGAGUUGUUCUUCCAUGACCCAUCAUCCAAUUCUACGCAUCAGGGGGGGAUACGAAGUGAAGAGCAGAAUUGAAGCAACUUGGGAAAUAAAGAAAUUUUCCUCUGUACAGAAAUGAUUAAUCAUCCUGAGUCUGGAGCACGAGAUUACUCUCUGUCGAAAAGCAACCAAUCGCCCAUUCAUAGCGAUCAAUUGCCUCACCUACCUGAUCCAUGUGAAGAUAUUUUUGAUCCGAGUCUCACACCUACAGACAAUACAGAACAACAAGAUGAAGACUCCCCCUCUAACUCAACAGUACCAACAGACCAAUCUCCUGAGAAUAUCCUUGAGGUAACUACUCCUACUAGAUUUGUGCAUUUAAAUGAUUAAACUAUUGGAUAUCAAUUACCUUUCAGGGAAAAUCGUGGGAAGCCAUCAAACCGUUAUGCACCUGAUAUUGGCAAGACAUCCAAGUAUCCAAUUGCAAAUCAUGUAUCCACUGAGAAGCUGUCUGAACAACUCAAGGCUUUUGUGCAUCAGUUGUCUGCGAUCCAUAUUCCAACCAAGGUCUCUGAAGCAUUAAAAUAUCCUAAGUGGGUCCAAGCUAUAAAAGAGGAGAUGAAAGCUCUUGAGAAAAAUCAGACUUGGACAUUAGAGACUAUACCUCGAGGAAAAAAGACUAUCAGAUGUAGAUGGGUGUUUACUAUAAAACACAAUGUAGAUGGAUCUAUCGAGCAAUACAAGGCAAGACUUGUGGAAAAAGGGUACACACAGACAUAUGGUAUAGACUAUGAAGAAACCUUUGCUCCAGUUGCAAAGUCAAACACCAUCAGAGUCUUAUUGUCCCUUGCAGCUAAUUUGGAUUGGCCACUACACCAGUUUGAUGUAAAGAAUGCUUUUCUACAUGGCGUACUCACGGAGGAGGUGUACAUUUACAUUCCUCCUGGAUAUAAUACUACUUAGACUGGAACAGUUUGCAGGUUACGAAAAGCAUUGUAUGGAUUGAAACAGUCACCACGUGCAUGGUUUGGACAGUUCACCAUGGCAAUGAAGAACAAUGGUUCAAACAGUGCAACUCAGAUCAUACUCUACUCUUGAAACAUCGAAAAGGGAAGGUAACAACAUUAAUAAUCUAUGUUGAUGAUAUGAUUAUUACUGGGAAUGAUAAACAGGAAAUAUCACAGCUACAAGACUAUCUGGCUACGGAGUUUGAGAUGAUGGAUCUAGGUGGACUCAAGUAUUUCUUGGGAAUUGAGGUGGCUCGAUCCCAGCAAGGCAUAUUUCUCUCUCAAAGGAAAUAUGUCUUGGACUUGUUGACAGACACAUGAAUGCUAGAUUGUAAACCUGCGAACACUCAUAUUGUUCAGAAUCAUCAUCUUGGAGAAUAUCAUGAUCAAGUUCCAACUAACAAAGAAAGAUACCAAAGGUUAGUAGGAAGAUUGAUCUAUUUGUCACAUACUUGACCAAACAUUACUUAUGCAAUGAGCGUUGUCAGUCAAUUUAUGCACUCUCCAAGUGAAGACCACACGAAUGCAGUUCUUCGGAUACUUAGAUAUUUGAAGUCUGCACCUGAAAAAGGACUUAUUUUCUGAAAGCAUGGUCAUAUAAAUAUUGAUGGUUAUUCAGAUGUAAUGUAACAGAUAGAAAAUCCACAUCCGGUUACUUAACAUUCAUGGGAGGUAAUUUGGUGACAUGGAGGAGCAAGAAACAGAAUGUAGUAGCUUUAUCCAGUGCAGAAGCCGAGUUCAGAGGCAUGACUAAAGGAAUUUGUGAACUUCUUUGGUUAAGAAAGUUGCUUACUGAACUUGGGUAUAAACCUACAUCCACAAUGAUUCUCUUUUGUGACAACAAGGCUGUUAUAGCCAUUGCACAGAAUCCGGUUCAGCAUGAUCGUACUAAACAUGUUGAGGAGGAUCGACACUUCAUCAAACAGAAGCUUGAGGCUAAAAUGUUUCAGUUUUCUUUUGUGAAAUCCGAGGAUCAAUUGGCGGAUAUUUUGACAAAGGUGAUUUCCAGUAAAACAUUCCACAAUUCACUGGAUCAGUUAGGCAUUGGCGAUAUCUAUGCACCAACGUGAGGGGAAGUGUUGGCGUGACUUGUGGAUAUUGACUUACUUUCCUUACACACCAAGAAUUCCUAUUAUAAUUGUAAUUGAUUUACUUUAAUUCCUGAUUUCCUAUUGUAAAUAGAUUUAGGAAUUUAUUAUUUACUUGCCCAUUCAGGUUUCGUUGUAUUAUAAAUAUGACCUCCUACAAGGAGAAUAACAUACAGAAAAUUCCCACAAACAAAUAUUCUCUUAUAGUUUUCAUAUUUUAGCAAGAACUACUCGAGAGUUUACUAAAAGAGUAGUUCAGUAUUCAUCCACAAGCUAUAUACACAAUACACUCUAUAGAUAUGCCAAAAUCAUCGCAAGCUCUAGAUUUUAGGUUCGAUACCUGCAAAAUCUAUUAGAAGGGUGAGUGAAACCACAGUUUAGUAGGGACAUAAACCUUUUCACGGUAAACUGAUAUAAUUAAAUUAAGUGAAAAAUAAUCACACAGCCAAAUAUCACAUUAUUAAUAACAAUGCAUGAAUGCUCUUCAUUUAACCCGUUAAUUCAUAUAAUUAGACAAGCUUCACGACCCAUACCAUGCUUAUACCACUUAGUCCCGAAUGCCAAUUUAUAUGAAUUAACGCCCAUUUCAAUCAUCCCAUAAUUCCCAUUUUGUUAGUCAUCUUGUCUAACUCCCUGUUGCCAGUCCUGAAUCACCAAAAAAAAAAAACCAUGUGCACUAUGGGAUCCCUGAGUACUAGUACCUGGCAAGAGUUAGACUCAACUACACAAAAGAUCAUUUCUAUUACCCUCUUAUCCACCAUUAUUUUCUCAACUUCAGAAUUCUAGCCAAAUUCCAUGACAUGAUAUAAUUAAAAUUAUGCCUUCACAACAAUGUGCCCAUUUAAAACAUCACUAAUGCACAUAUAAUUAUGCCCACAUUGUUCAAAUAGUUAAGAGUACGUAAAUACCCAAUACAUGGAACGUCAAUCAAACAGUACCACGCAUAAUAUAAUGCUCAAGAAAUUUAAUUAAAUCAAUCUCUGUAAAAGGCCCCUAAGAAACCCCUGCCUUGAUACUAAAGCUUUUGCUAGACCUAUAAGGUGUUUUCCAAUUUUCCACCGCAUUCACAAACUCUGUCUUCUACUUUUUUUCUUACUUCUCUCUACCACUAUUUCUUUCUCGUUUUCUUUGUUUUCACUUGUUGUGCAACUUAAUGUCCUAUAUAUAUACAAGGAACAAGUCGGCAGUAAGUGAUUUCCUAUUGGAUGGUGUAUUCGGUUGUUAUAAACUUACUAGUAAUAGUUAUCAAUGUAGUUGCAGAUGAGGAAGAAUGUUUUUGUGACUCUUCCAAUCCCUCUAAUCCUAUUUCUUAUCUUCUUGGUGAGUUGAUAGCCUCGAUACUUAACAGAUUUUAUACUUUGACACGUAUUAACAAGAACUAUUUUAAAAACAUAUACAUAUAUAUAUAUAUAAUAGAAUAUGUAUAUAUGUAAUACACAUAUUUAUAUAUAAUAAGAAUAAUAUAUAUGUAAUAAGAUAUAAAUAUUUAUUAGAACAGUAUAUAAAAUAAUAUAUAUCAUUCUUAUUAUAACAAUAAUUUUAAUUUUCCCAAAAUAAUAUAUAUUUAAAAAUAUGUGGUUUCACAUGCAUGUCCUUUUUGCUAUAGACACUAUUACAAAAAUCGAAAUAGACAACGGAAAACUACCGUCGUCUGGAAAGUUUUCAAACAGUCGUGAAAUCGACUGUCGUCUCUUUUACAUAAAACAACGACGGCUAUUAACCAACGUCGUUAAUACAUUCCACGUAAAAAACUAUUAUAAACCGACGUGUAAUUACUAUAUAUAUAGCCUAAAAUAAAAUCUUCAACAACCUUAGACGACGGUUUUAUUAAAACUGACACGUCUAAAGAGUGUUACAUGUCAAGAUCAAAACAAGAACCGACGUACAGAUAAUUAUCCACGUCCUAAUUGAAGUAAAAUAGACUUGGAUAACCUAGAAACCGUCGUGGUUAACAUAUACUACGUUAAAUUAACAAAGGCACUUACGUCUAAAAAGUAAAAGACAACACGCGCACAAAGCAACAGACGUUUAAAGCUUAGUACAUGUCAAUAGCCGCUCAAUAACCGCAGUAAAAUGAAUUAACCACGUCCCACAUAUGGCAGAACUGUUGCUUAUGUGAUUAUCCACGUCGCGGAGUAGUAGAACAAAGACGUUGUAACCAUAUUCCACGUCUGUUUCUUGUGAGAAUUGUCGUUUAAAUUAUACAAAGAAGCCCCUUUGACAGAGUUAGACGUUGCUCUUGCUGUAGAACCGACUUCUAACAGGUUUAAAAUGACACAAUAUUACUUAAUACUGCCGUAACAAAUCAUAUCCACGACUGCUGUUGUCAAAGACUGACGUUACAAAAAAUAUUGAAGGUGUUGACAAAAAAGAACCGACAUGGAUUAUGCAUUCAACGUCGUGUGGUCUAAAAAUAAAGGACGUGGUUAAUUUUUUCUCUACGUCAAGUGGAUCCAAUUGCCUGAUGUUGUAAUUCUUUACCAUGUUGGUUUUUAAUACAUGAUGAUGUGGUUGUCCUUUUAAAAGUCGCUUGUUUUACCCUCCUUGACGUGUGUAUGAUAUGAGACGUCAAUUGUUUUAGACUAGCUGACGUGCAGAAAAUCUGUCACGACAAUUAAUGCAACUGAAUUGCCUCUAUUUCCCCCAGACGACGGUAGGUUUUAAGUGUGGAAGUAGUGUUUUACAAAAUCGUAAGUUGGAGUAAUCUACCAUCGUGUUAUUCGAGAAUAUACCACGAUCUUUGUUUUGUACUCGGUCGCUGAUGUUUAUACUACUUAAUAAACUGACAUGUUUUCAGUUUCAGACGGCGGCUUUUGUUUCUUUAUGGUCUUUUGCAUUUUUUUUCCAUGACAUUUUUGAAAGCCUAAUGUUGGUUUUAUUUUAGAAAUCGAUUUUUCCCCUUUUUUUACUGGACCGUCGUACUUUACACAUUUAAUCAAUUUUUUUCAAUUUUUGAUUCAUCGUGCCCAAAGCCUACAUAACGAAAAUGUGAUCAGAAUUAAAAUGAUGUACAAAGGUAUUAAUUAAUGUCAUACAAUUAACUGAAUAACUAAUGUCAUACACUACAACAAUCAAUCAAUCCAUAUAUCUUCACACCCAUCUUUAAUAUUUUCACUCCCAAACUCACCCACUAGGUCAUCAUAUGUGUCAACAUUUGGUAUCCCUCUAGUAAAUGUCUCACACUCAAUUCUAAUAUCACCUAGCACAUCAUCACCAAUAACAUUAUUAUAUUCUCUAUUAUGCAUUGAUAACACUACCGACCAACCACGAUGCAUUGGGUCGUCAGCAUAAAAUACUUGUUUUGGUCAUUCCUAUGUCCAAUUUUACUCAAAUCUACAAAGGUGAAUCCAAGUUCAUCGACAACAAGGCCCAAAGUGUUAUCUAUCCAAUCACACCUCAAGACAAGGAUUCUAAACUUUUGGUAGUCAAGGUCCCAAAUUUCUUGAAUAACACCAUAAAAACCCAUAUUGGAGACAAUAGAGUUUUUAUCCUUAGCACUAGCAACUUGCAUAGUAUGUGCAAGUAAAUAAACUCCACUAUUUUGGACAGUUCGCAUAUCAUCUUGUGCCUUGGUGUUAAAUUUAACACCAUUAAUAAGAUAGCUCCUAUAUGAUGGCAUUGCCAUGCUUGGACUAGCUGCUAGCCACCUCAAAUUUUAUGAUACGCCAUUAUGCUCUUCCCCAUUAAGUUCACUUUGAACUUGCAAAUUAAUCGUAUAUAUCCUAAUUCGAUCUAACAUAUAAAAAGGAAGAAAAUUAAAAGUUGAAUAUGUCAUUCAAUAACAUAUAUACUUGAAAGUGUAGCCAUUGAAUGAAAGUGCUAUUGUGCUUAUCUUGCAGCCACUUUGUUCUCUUUCUAAAUAUUGGAUAAGUGGUCUUGAUGUGGAUCAUAUGUUCCAUACAUUGACACGAAAAAAUCAAGCAUUACGGUCCCUUGUAUAUAAGAUAACAUAAGGAAUAAUAAUAUUUAAAAUGGCUCUAUAUGAAAAAUGGAACUCAUGCGUACUCGAUAUAAGGUAGGACUUCCUCAGUAUUCUCCAAGACAUAUAGAUGUGUCUGGUUCAAAAAACCCGAUCACCUAAGCUUACUGUGCAACCAGAUAAUGGCUUUGAAACUCCCAUCUUCUAGCUUGAAGGCACUCCAACUGUACUAACAUCAGAUAAAUGCUCGGUGCAAAACUCUACAACUUCUUCAGCUAUAUACCGCUCAAUAAUGCAACAUCCGGGACGAGUACGGUUCUGAACAAACCUAUUUAGCACUUUCAUAUGUCUUUCAAAUGGAUACAUCCAUCUAAAAUAUACUGGCCCAUGUAGACGAACUUCUCUGACAAGAUGUACUACUAGAUGAACCAUGAUAUCAAAGAAUGAAGGGGGAAAGUACUUCUCAAGCAAACGCAACGUAACUACUACAUCUUCUUCCAAAUUAUCUAGCUUGGAAACAUCUACUGUCUUUGCACAUAUAGCAUUGAAGAAGAAGCACAAUCGAGUUAUUGCAUACCUUGCAGGCUUCUCCAAACAGAACGAAUUGCCACAGGGAGCAAUUGUUGCAUCAAGGCAUGAAAAUUAUGAGAUUUAAGGCCAAGAAGUCUUGAAUAUUUUUAAGAUACAAGAUUUUUUUAUAUUUGAACAAUAACCUUCAGGGACUUUCAUACCAUAGAAAGAAUUGCAAACCGCUCUCUUAUCUGCUCUUGACAAAUUCUAGGGCCUUGGAGGCAAGCGAGUACGUCUUUCUCAAUACUCGGGUUGCAAAUCAUUUUUGACCCCCAUGUUCAAUAAAUCUAACCGAACAGCAAUCUCAUCUUUAUUUUUUCUAGGGAUCUCCAGCAAUGUACCAAUGAUACUAUCGCAAACAUUCUUCUCAAUAUGCAUAACAUCUUGGACAUGCCUCAUAGGAAGGUAUUUCAAAUACUCGAGAUCAAAGAAUUUUGAUUUCUUAUUCCAACAAACUCUGUCACCAUCAUUCUCAAAAACACUUCCCCCAUUUUUCGAGCCCCAUAUGUAAUUAAUAUCUUCAACCAUGUCCUAUUCAAGUUAAUGGUUCGGGAGGCGUGCCAUAUUCAAGUUUUCCAUUGAAAGCUGCACGCUACCUCCGACAUGGAUGAUUGAUUGGUAACCAUUUUUUAUGACCAAUGUAACAAAUUUUGGGGCCAUUUUCAACCUGUGACUAGGUGUAUCAUCGCCGCAUAUUGGACAAGCUUUAUAUCCUUUAACGACACUGUAACACCCCGACUCUAAAUUAAUCCCUUAUUUAAUUAUUUAAAGAAAAUUACAAAUUUACCCUUAAGAUAGGGGUAUUUUGGUCAUUUUCUUACCCGAAGAGAGUUUGGGGCAGUGACUAGUAUUUUUGGAUAGGUCGUACUGAGACGAGUUCAUAGACACGUAGUGGGCUCGAAUCGAAGUUGUAACGAGAGAGAUAUGGUCAAAAGAAACCCAAUUGCACAAUCAUAAUUAUUUCGAAAUGAGAUUUUUAUAAAAAUCAGAUUUUUUUUUCUCUCUCUCUCUCUCUCCUCGUCGGUCUCUCUCCCUCUCCUCGAAACUCCGGCCAUCGGCCACGGCUGUGGACGGGGCCGGUACCAAAAUGACCGAGGCGUUGUCCUCCUCUAAUCCCAGCUAGGUCCCGCCGUCAGCCGCCAUGGUUUCGCCGGAAAAUGGAGAAGAAGCGGCCGGCGUCGUCCGAAGUUCUCCGCCGUUGAUCUCCCUCUUCCGGUCACCGAUUCCGACGAGUGAGGUAUGGUUUCUCACCUACUUUUCAUGCUCUAGCUGCCUGCUGGGUAUGAUUGGAUUGAUUUUUAGCGUAGGCAAUUCGAUUUUCGCAUUGAAAUUCGGCUAAUUUUGGAAUCACGAUUCCGGCUAGUUCUGGUCAGUUUUUGGGGUAGAUCCAAGAACAAAAGUGGCUCCAAAUAGGGUGUUAUACCUAGGGUAGGAGUUUGGAGCCAUGGUUUUGAGAUUUUCCGGCGAUACGUAAUCGCUUUAGACACCCAACGCUGCCCGCACGUGUGGCAGUGCGUGGGCGAGGGUAGUGAAAUAGCACUAUGUCUCGAUGAGAUCCUUAGGUUGUCACGAGUGCGUAGGAUUUCGCGGAUCUCAAUUCGGACGUCGUUUGACUAUCGAACGGAUUUUCGUAUAUUGCGCGUCAUCCGGGUUCGAUAGGUUGGGACCGUUGGAUGGUCUCGAAUAAAAUAUAUGUUAAUCUAGGUAUUUCUAGGAUCAUGUAGGAAUUCACGGAUUAUAAAUCGGAGCCCCGGAUAUUCCGAAUAAAUAAUUUAAAGUUUAUGUUUUAUAAUAACCGUCACAUCGUGCGAUCGUGAGCGAUCCGACCGGCCGAUCUGGACCAAACUUACAGAACGAGUGUCCUAUACCUUGAAGAACCCAUAGGAAUUUUCAGAUCGAAAUUUGGAGGUCGUGGGCCCCGUGGGCCCAUUUGACUAGGGGUAGGGUAGUUUGACCCUUAGUUGACCGUGAGUCUCCCGGAGUAAUCUCACCUUUCCAGGGGGAUUAUCGGGUGCUAGACUGUUGUUGAGGUUUACACGAUAUUAGUAGUAAAUUAUAUAUUUAUAUACAUUUGUAAAGGUAAAAAAUAAGUCCAGAAUGUCAGUUUGAAGUGCUUUACGCACUACCUUAGGUACCUCCCCGGAUUUUAGUUACACUACAAGUACCACCCUAUGAAAGUUAGGUCCCACGUGGCGUAGGUUAUCCGGCGUGCGGACAGGCCCUAUACGUGGCAUUGGUAGUAUCGGUGUAUGGGGAGAUUACGUGAUAAUAUGUUGAGGUCACACGUGGCGUAGGUUAUCCGGCGUGUUGACAGACCCCAUACGUGGCGUUGGUUGUACCGGCGUAUGAGGAGAUAUUGUGAUAUGAUAUUCAGGUCUCGCGUGGCGUAGGUUAUCCAGCGUUGAGACAGACCCCAUACGUGGCGUUGGUUCUACCGGCGUAUAAGGAGUUUAUGUGAUAUUAUGUUGAAGUCGCGCGUGGCGUAGGUUAUCCGGUGUGUCGACAGACCCCAUACGUGGUGUUGGUUGUACCGGCGUAUGGGGAGAUAUGUGAUAUGAUGUGCAGGUCUCGCGUGGCGUAGGUUAUCCGGCGUUGAGACAGACCCCAUAUGUGGCGUUAGUUGUACCGGCGUAUGGGAAGAUAUUGUGAUAUGAUAUUCAGGUCUCGGGUGGCGUAGGUUAUCCGGCGUGUUGACAGGCCCCAUACGUGGCGUUGGUAGUACCGGUAUAUGGGGAGAUUAUGUGAAAUACAGAGAAAUGAAAUAAGGUAUUGCCUAUGUGUGGAAUUGGGUUUUAAGGAAGAACUACGUGUGGCUUGAUCCCUCAGGGAGGGUACGUAGGCAGCCUAAGGUUAUUAGGUGUAGCCGCGGACAUAGACGUGAUUGUGUUAGGAGGUUAAAACCUCGUAUGUUGAAAUUGAGAAAAUUAGAUGAUGUAUGUUGAAAUUUAGUAGUCGUAAUUUAUAUUUAAAUUUAUCGUUUGCCUUGUUUAAGGCAUGAAUUGAUUUGCUAGCAUGCUUGGUAGUUGAGAAUUAUAGAAAGGCCGAAGGCCGUUUAUGUGAAUUGCAUGGAAUUAUAUUGUGCAUGCUGCCAGUUGUAGUUAUUAAAUGUGUUUUUAUGCAGGUUGAAAUUUUGGGAAAUGUCCAAUUUACAGGGGAGACUCUGCCGAAAUUUCGGCAGAAAGUCUCGGUCUUUAGUAAGUGGGCCUGACAUCGAGGUGAUGUCGGGGAAUCCACAGGAUCCGCCUCGAUUUUUGGAAAAAUCGGGGCGGUUCCUUUCAGACACAACCAGAUAAGUUCUCAUAGGCAGAAAAAUCAUUAAUUGUUCACAGUAAUACACCUAUGAGUGUAAAGUAAUCUCCUAUGUGUGCAUCAUACACUCCUUUAAUCCCAUCCCACAAAGAUUUUAAAUCAUCAAUCAGAGGCUCUAAGUAGACAUCUAUAUCAUUUCCAUUCUAUUUAGGACCAGAAAUCAAUAAGGUCAAUAUCAUGAACUUCCAUUUCAUGCAUAGCCAUGGUGGGAGAUUAUAUGUAACUAAGAUAACCAACAAUUGUAUCUGCUACUUAAAGAACUGUGGGGAUUGAAUCCAUCAGAUGAGAGAGCCAAUCUCAAGUUUCUUGGCUCUUUACUGAACUCGGGCCAUUUAUCAUCAACAAGUUUUUAAGACGGGAAAUUCGCUGGAUGAGACAUAUGACCGUCAAUUGCUUUUCUAGCAACAUGCCAAGUCAAACUCUUAGCUGUCAUAUGUGAUUGAAACAUCCUUUUAAACCUUGGAAUUGGAGGAAAAUACCACACCACCUUCGCUGGCACACUCUUUUUCAAGAUUGAAUCUUUGCAUUCCUUCCACCUUGAGAUACCACAAGUAGGACAAUUAGUUGAAUCUUCAUAAUCAUUCCUAUACAAGAUGCAGUCAUUGGGACAUGCAUGGAUAUUCUCAUAACUCAUCCCUAAAGGAGAUAAUGUCUUUUUUGCCUCGUACAUAGAGGAAUAUAGUGUCUUUCCUUCUGGAAGCAAAUCUCCUUGAAGUAUCAAUAAUUCUAUAAAACAAACAUCACUCAUCCCAUGUUUUGCUUUCAAAUUAUAUAACUUCACCAAAGCCGACAACAUCGUGUACUUACUGCAACCAGGGUACAAGGAUUGAUCUCAAUCCCCAAUCACAUUGGCAAACUCAUAAGGAUCAAAUCCAAUAUCGCCUAAAUCAUUAUCAUCCAUCCCUACUUCUUUAGAAACAAAACUGAACCUACUUUGCUCAUCUUCUUCCACAUUUCUACUAGCAUUAGUAGUCAAUUCCCAAGGUUCUCCGUGCCAUGUGCAAAUCUGAUAGCUUUAGUCAAUUCCAUUAAAGUAUAAGUGGUCCCUCAUAAUUCCAACCCCAAACAAUCGAAUAUUCCCACAUUUAACACAUGGACAACGAAUAUGAGUUGUAUUUCCAAGAUUUUCUACAGCAAAAUUCAAAAAUCCUUCCACCCCUAACUCAUAUGCCUUCGGUCUUCUAUCCGCAUGCAUCCAUGACUUAUCCAUCUCACACACUAUAAAAUCAUAUAUAUAAUAAAGUGAAAAGACCAGCAAUGAAACACUACUUUAUUCACAUAGCAAAGAAUGAAUUGAAAAAAAAAAUUAACCAAGAAUCAGACGACGGUUUUUACAAAAAAAAUCGUCCUGUAACAGAGGGUCAGACGACGGCAUAUCUAGUUAUCGACGUCUUUAAGCUACCCAAACCCAGAUAUUUGUAUUGCUUUUUGAAGAACCGGGUUCUGGGUUCUGGUAAACAAAAGAUGACGGUAAAUGGAGAAACACCGACGUAUCCUAAAACUUGAGACGACGGUUUAUUUCACCAACCGUCGUCGUAGUUUACGAAAAACAGAAGUCUAAAUCUCCCAUCCUCAUUCCUUUUCUAAGAACCCUUAACAAAAUGCAAACAUCAAAAUAUAAAAGAGCCAUAUAUAGCUCCCAAUUAAGAAACCAAAGCUACCAAAACAUAUAUUAAUAAACCAAAGCUACCAAAAUGAACGAAAACAUUUAUGGGUUUUACAAACUAAGAGAAUAUUGAGAGAGAGCUGAGAGAAUAUACUUACAUGGAUAUUGAGAGAGAGCUGAGAGAAUAUAACAAAUGCUUGAGAGAGAGCUUAGAGAAUAUACACAAUGCUUUGAGAGAGAGCGAAAAAUUUAAGACAAAUUUAUGUUGAAGAGAGAGAAGGAAAUAUUUUAGGGUUAAAGGGAAAUUCUGAAAAUUUUAGAUCACCGUCAAAAUUUUCAAAGGACCGCGUUUUUCAAAGACGGCUAAGGAAAACUACCGCCAUUGUAAAUCAUUUUACUACGACGGUUGAGGAAAACUACCGCCAUUGUAAAUCAUUUUUAUGUCGCCUCUAUAAAAACCGACGUCUAAAAUAUUAAAUAAUUAGAUUUGGUUUGCAUUUCGUGGGAUUCUAACGUGCGUAAUUGACCAAAAAGAGCGAGAGAAAACCAGCGUCGUUUCUAUAAAACCUAAACCCUAAACCCUAAACCCUAAACUCUAAAACCUAAACACUGAAAAAAUUAACCAAAAAUUGCUAUGGACUCCUUACAACAAUGCCUUCUAUAUUAGUAGGCUAAAAUCGGGAUUAAAUAAUUUUGAAUUUUAUGACCACCAAUGGAUCACAUAAACCUUAGGGUUAUGUUUAUGGAAAGUAUAAGGAUUAUUGUGUUUUGUCUCUAAAUCUUUUUUACUUUUGUUAUCACUUGUAACUUUGAAAUCUAAAAUUAAAAUUUUCAGGCCUUUAGGGGGGAGAUAUUGUCUCAAUGUGUUUAUAGAAUUUGAGACUGCGAAGGUUCUAGCUGAUUGACUAAGGAUGAGGCAGGAUGGAUGGAAGGUUUGCUUGGAGAUUCUACCUUUGUCAGCUCUUCUGGUUGACAUGUUGUUUAUUCUGCCUGAGGAACUACUUCUAGAUUUUUCCCUUUUCUAGCAGAACUAGUCUCUGGAAGUACUUGUGUGUCAUCCUUAUUCUUGAGGAAGACGCAGUAUUGCCUUUGAACUCUCCUCUUUUGCAUUCUGGUUAGCUUCAGAGUUGGUCUUCGGCUUUUUCCAAUAGAAUAUCAUCUACCUUCUAUGAUAGUUGCAAAGGGCUUGUCAUUUCCAGGCAUCUUAACUGGUAUUUCCUUCUUUGGCUGCUCUAUUAUUCUCUUGUUGCGUUGGGCAGGCCUUAAAUAGUCCUUCUGUCUGGCUCUAUCUCUAGGUGGAGCCGGAACUAGGCCUUGUUGGUAUGAUGUUCCAAUCCUGUCAAAAACACAAGGUGUGGGCUGACUUUGCCUAACCAGAGUUACCUCUAACUCACUUUCACAUUUGCACCUGUUGCACAAAACUACCCCAGCCGAAAUGGUUGCUUUUGGUCUUCAAUUAGCCUAUCUUUGGACUCUUCUGCCUAUGCUGGGGCUAACUUUUGCUGUUAGUUUGCCUUUCUUUUGUUUUGGCCAAUUUAAGUUGACCAUGUUGACUUGAGGUUGGGGAAAAGGGUCUGUUGUUAUCGAAUGAGGUUUCUCAGCCAGUUUUAGCCUCCAUGCUGUUAUUCCUUCCUGUAUGACGUCCCUGAAAACAACACAACUAUUGGUGGAAUGGUCCCAGGAGUUAUGCCAUCUGCAAUACUGUCUGCCCUUGAGUUCCUCUAGCUUGGGCAACUUGUAGGGUGUUUCUAUUGCCUUCUGUCGCAGCAUGUCAUCAAACAGGGCAUCAACCUUGGUUAAAUCGAGGGAAUAGACUUUGUUAUGAGCUGGUUUGUUUGGAACAAACCCUCUUGUGAAUGGUGGUGGCUUUUGGUCCUUUGGUGGCUUUGUUAAAGCCUUGCAACUGAUGAGAUGUUUUAAUUUCCCCAUUUCUGCCACUGCAACUUCUCUCUCCUCCGAGCUUUCUAUGCCUUCUUCUGAUUCUACCUCAACAAGAUUUACUGAAGAGGAUGGGGUUUUGUAAUAUGUGCCUUUGAAAGAGUUCCUCUUCUAUUGUUCUUCCCUGAGCAGCUCCUUGUAUUUAGAUGCUUUGUCUGCUAGUUCUGCCAGAUCUCCAAACAGCAUCCCAUCAAAUUUUUUUCUCAGAGAGAUUUUAAGGGAGAUUUGAGCCAUUUGGAUGAAGUGCCCUUCCUCCAUAGGGAUUCAAAAUUUCAUUUUGAGCUUUUUGAACCUGGUUAUGAAGUCUUGGGCAGGCUCAUCUUCCCUCUAUUUCCAGGUUUGAGGGCAGCAAGAUCACUGAUGGUGACUUCUGGCUGAAUCCUAAAAUAGUAGUCAUGGAAGACAUUUUCCAUCUAUUUCCAGGUUUGAACAGAAUUGGCUGGUAAGCUAGUAUAUUAGAUGAAGGCUUGUCCAGAGAGAGAAUUUCGAAAAAGCCUUAGUUUUAACAGAAGGUUAUUUUCUAUGGCUAUGCACUGGAAAGAGAAUCUGCCUAUAUGCUUAACUGAUGAAGCAUGGGUGUCUUCUCCGUUGAACAAGGUGAAGUGUGGUACCUUAAAGCCCAGGGAUAGAGGUAUUUGAUCGAUAUAAGCUGGAUAAGGCUUUCUGUAGGUGGGCCUUUCUCCUCUUCUGGCCUCAGGUUCCAUCAUCUCUCUGAUCAUUCUAUAAAGUGCCCCCAUGUCAUUCAAAGCAUUGACAUGAUGCGGGGUUCGCCCCUGUUCUGGCUAGUUGUGUUCAAUCCUUUGUUCUACUUUAUAUGGCCUGGGCAGAACUUCCUCCCUAUGCUCUUCCUCUUUUUCGAAAUCUGGAUGAUUCCUUUAGUUUGCCCCCGGUCUGUUUUUGUCAUUGUUGGCAAAGGGUUUAACUCCUACUCUACCUCUCAUGCCACUUGCUAGUGGAGGGAAUGGAUUGGGGUCCAUCCUUCUAGGUCUGUAGGGCAACACAACUGGUUGCUCAGGCAGAAGUGCCAAGGCCUGAUCACGUGGGGCCACUAGUUGUGGAAUAGGUGGAGGUUCUGGCUAGUUCUGAGGGGGUCUGAACUGGUGCAGAGCCUUCUGGAUGAACUGAAUCCUCAUGUUCUUGGAUGGGAAGGGCUCCUCCCCUCUGUCCAGCUUGGAUUUCUCCAUGUCCUGGUAUUCCAGCUAUCUGUGUGAUGAGAGGCUUCUCUUCAUAUGGCCAUGCCAGUCCUGGUAGAGGUCCAAAAGGGAGAUCUAGCUGCUGGACCACCAUGUCUAGGUUUGGAAUUUUGGCAAUAGUAGCCUCACGGUCCUUCCUGAACUGCCUGUUGACUUGCCAUUACAUCAUGGUUGUCAUGUUGUUUAGAGUAUCUUGGCUCAUUUGUGCUGUGGCUUCUUGCCGAAACACAGCCUCCUGUAUCUAGUUUAACCUUCUGGAACCAGACAUGGAACGUCUACUCGUGGUACUGCCAUGGGCUGAUUACCUAGCAUCACUUUCUUUUGACUCAAGUCCUUUUCGGAGAGCUGCUUGAUCUCUUUUCAUGGCAUAGCGUGGAUUCUGGCUAGAACUUCCAAUAUUCAUAUACUAGAGGAUUUUUCUAGAAAUAUAUGUAUUGAGAAGUCCCACUGGGCGUGCCAAAUUGUUCAUCCGUUUUAGAUUUGUUCCUGUGAUGGUAGGGUAAAGUUCCUCAUUGACUUGAAAACCAUUGGUGGUCAAUAAGUCAACUUUCUUUUGUGUACAAAUGUGCCACUGCUAGCAAUAAAAACCCUAGCAGACUUCUUAAAAAUAGAAAACUUGUGCCCAAGUUAUUAACUUCUAAAUAAGCGAUUGUGAAUUUGGGCGAGGAAUAUCUCCCAAGUAAGUUCUUUUCUUUGCCUCAGAUUGGUGAGGACUUCACAAUUUUUCACAGUACAAAACUGGUAGUUCUAGCUAGAAUAAAUGAUAAGAAAGUGAACUGUUUUCAGGCAGAACUACCUUUUACAAAGCUUAAAAAGGAAGACCAACUCUAAAAAGACAAAAAGAGCUUUUGGACUUCAAUUUCUGCUUGGAUAAAUGCUUCUGAUCCGGGCUGGACUGGGUAUGUUUGUGCUGGACUGGACUAUCAACACCUUCAACUGUCAAGUUUUAGCUGUCAAUGAAUACCAAUGUUCGAGUGUGGCAAAGCUUCAAUCUAUUUCAAGCCGUGCAAGGCUUUUUGAACGGACAGAAUUGGAACCUCUUCAGUCUGGAAGGGGUAGAAGUGGCUGAAUUUGGUGAUUACUGAGCUGGAACUGCACUGUAGUACCUGUUCUGCUUGAUCAGGGCUCUCCAUAAAUUUGUUGAGGUUUUAAUAUUGGUAAAACCCGAAGCUUAUGUUGAACCAACUUUGUAACGAGAGAAAUCUUGCUUUGAAUGACUAUUUCUCUGAAACUAAACAGAAGUUAGAGAUUCUGGAAUAUAGCUGACUUGUUUCUUAUGGCUCAAUGAGCUUUUGGUUGCUUCAGUGUUUUGAAGGCUUUUGAGAUCAAGUGAUCAUUUUGAGUUUUUAUUUUUGAUUGAUUUUUUGGCUGUCCUUUUAUCUGUUCACCUCAUCUCAUAUUUAUAGAAUAUACUGGAGUGUGAUUUCUAAUCUUUUAAUAAUGGGCGGCAAAUCUUUUAAAAGAUCUUUUUUUCUUUUUUCAAUGUCAUAAGAGAAGGAAGCUACUAUUCUGACAGAGAAAGGUUGUCAACAAUCAUCUUUCAAUUUUUCUAUGUUCACUUUUUGUUCUUUGUAAAGAGAAAGAACACAAUCUACCAUGAUGGUCAGUGUGCUUUUCCUGUUGAACAACUCCCUCGUUCUCUACUUAUCUCUUGAAAACGUAGUCUGCUUAUCUCUUGGAAAGACCACCUGAUUUGGUGCAGAGCUUCUCUAUAUAUAUAUAUAUAUAAAGGGAUUUUGAUCUUCUUCUUUUGGCUGAAAAAAUAGAGAAGUCUUUCUGUAAGACCUGCCUUCAUUAAUUUUCUAUCAACUUCUCUGUAAUAGUUGAAAAUUUUGACUUUUCAAAGCCAGGUAUUCACGUGGGGUUGUUUAGAAAAGAUCUGUUGAUUUUGUCAAUCUUUUAGGGUAGAGAUUAAAUAGCGUAAAAAGGCUGGGCUAGUCUCUUUUUCUUAGUAGAUAAAAAGCCCAAAUAUUUUGUCUCACUGCCCUUUUCUGGAAAAUAAAUGGGCUGGGUGUGUUGGAAAUUGGCCCAAUCUUAAGAAAGACUCUGGUGGCUGCCCAAAAUUGACAUAGGCUUUUCUUGAUUUUGGGCUGGGCAUGCCAAAUUAGGCCCAAACAAUGCCCCUUAAGUCUGAAUUGUUUUUGGAAUAGUUUCAGACUUAAUGAUUUGGCCAUUAAUUUGUGCGCGCCAUUUCCUUCUGUUAGCCCACAUCUGCCACGUCUGCCUAUUAUGAUCAAGACUUCGUGGGAAAGUGGGCAGUUACUAGCUAGUUAUUAUCAGGUGGCGUCUUGUCUUCUUCUUCCCACGAUUUCGAGUCUUUCUAAGAAAUUUAAAAAGACCUCAGCUCCUGUUUACUCAAAACCUAACUUCUUCAGACCUUGAUUUUCCUCAGUUUUCUCAGAAUUUUUACCCUUUUCUGCGAUCAAACCCUGCUUCCUUUCAGUUUGAUUCCCCUAUCCUAGCUCAAAACCCGAAAAUGUCUUCUCCAAAAAAUCGUGCCCAGACUUCUUCUUAUUCUGUUCCUCCUACCUACAUUACUGGGGCCGGUGUUGAUAAGCAUGUGAUUGAAGUCCGGAGCAAGCUUCAUCCUUUUGCCCAGAACGUUCUGGACAAGAACGUGUUACAUUUGUUCGAGAACACUCUUGUUUUGGAGCCUCAUCGGUUUGGUUCUGUCCCGACUGAAAUGGCAGAAUUGUUUAAAGAAUAUACUGAAGCUCCUCUAUGCUUUCAGAGCUCUUUCGUAGAUUUCAGUUUUAUAUAUAAACUAUCGUGUUUCUCCCUAUAACAUGUCGUUUUUAAGAAUUGUUGUCAAUGUUUUAUUUCCUGCUACUAUAAGACGGCGAUUAUUUAUACAUAUGAGACGUGUAAAUUAGAAUGAGACGUCAGUCUUUGGGAUUUAAAUUAAGUUUUUACGAUUUAAUGUCAUUUUAGUUCAUAUAAGGACAUAAAUGUCCUAACCAAAAAUAUAUUUAUGUACAUUGUCAAUAAAUUAAAAUAAACCUAAACAUUGUUAAAAUAAAUUAGAUCACUUAUUAUUCUGUAAUUACUUGUUAACGAAUUCAGCCCAUUCCAACCUGACUUCGUCAAUAUGUUCUUAUACAUACUGAACUGGUUCCUUUUUCUUAUCAAACUGCAAAUAAAUAACAAAAACCAACGUGUUAUAAAGAUUACAACGACUGCUUUUAAAGAAAAAGUUGUGGUACUAAAAUAAAGAAUUUAUAUCUUAAGUUUUGCCUUUUACCUUCUUCUCAAAUGCUAGGCCUGGAUCAUGAAUUAUAUCUCUCAUGAAAUGCAUCACGUAAUAGCCACACUCUACAUUUGUUGGUUGUCGAGGAGUGCCAUGUAGAUUUUUCCAUAUGACUGAUUUACAUGAUGAUUAAUUGCCUGUGUGAGAGUUAUACAUUUUGAUUGAACUGUUUCAAGAAAAUGAAAAGUGUUAAUGAUAAAAAUAAAAAUCUAAAGCAAAAAUAUUAAACGUCGUGGUAAAUAAGUGAAGACGAUGGUUUUGUUAAAAAAGUGAUGUUGUAUUUCAUUUCAAACGUUGGUAAAUAAAAACCGUCGUUGUGUAGAAUUCUAACGUCGGUGACGAUGAAAAAUGACGUAUAACCAAAAAUUGUUUGUAAAUGAAAGUUGAACAGAAAAAAAUAAAACUUCCUUAAAUGAAAAACACAAACGACGUGGUAUUUCAAUUAAAAUGACGGUUUACAGAAAAUACUGACGUUGUAAAUGAUUUCAAACAUCGGUUUGAAGUUACCAUCGUGUUUUCAUUGUAACGUCGGUAUUAGAAAAAGCCGUAUAUCAUUCAAAUGCAAAUAAAAAAAUGUUAGAUUUUCAUAGAUAAACUUACAUAUUCACUAUAUUUCUCAUGUCCUCGUCAACAACGCGGUUUGGCAAUGAAUCCAUGUAAUAGAUAGUCUCCUUCGCUGGUCUCACAAUUAUUAACACCCAAUGACCCCUACACAUAAUGAUCCAUAUAGGUUAAAUAUACUAGAAAGAAAAAUAGGCAUCAAGUAUAGUUAAGGGGACUAACCUUGGAUUACAAGGCACCAUGUAAAAUUGAUCCCCAUUUGCGUUUUUCAGGCGGUCUGAGAGAUGUUUCAAACGGUAAGAUAACGUUCCAGAUUGAGAGCUGACUUGUCCAAGGUCCACGAAGCCAAUAAGGUUUACCAUAUUUUCUAUUUUUAAAUAGUCAAAUAGGCACCUAAAUAUAUGAAAUUCAAUUAAAUGAGAUUUUAACUUUAAAGAAAGGAAAUGUAUAAUGCAAUCACUGUGGAUCCAAUCUCAACCAUGGAAGGAAAUUGUAAAAUAUCUUCACACAAGAGGAAGGUAUCAUGGUUAAUGCCAAAGGCUUCCUCUGGAAUGUGAAUUCUAAUGGUCUCGUUAAUGGGCUUCAACUUGGUCUCGACAAAUUGAAAUAAGGCUAACAGAGGAGGUGGCAUGUCUAGCUUUGAGAGAUCCUGUUACAACAAAUAAAUAAAGAAAUAUAAGUUAGUUUGUACACUAAGUAAAAUAAACGACUCUAACUAAACCAAUCAAACCGACGUGGUAUAUAAUAUAAUCGACAGUUUCUAGAACAUACUGAAGGAGUAAAGGUUAUAGACGACGGUAAAGACAUAACCAUCGUUAUGUAAAUGUUCUAACGUCGCUGCAUUAUGGAAAGGUCGUCUAAUUAAAAUGCAGUGAAGCCUUUAUUGAAAUACACGACAGUUUAUAAAAUAAACACCGACGUAGUAAAAUACUGAGACGACGGUUAUCAGCAACGUCUAUUUGAAAUUAUAAAUCAGAAAAAAUCAAAUAUCAAAGAUUUUACCGUUUCAUCUUGCCAUUGUUUAGCAACAUCAGCAUCAUUCGUGGGAUUUUCUUCCUCCAAAACAAGGGGUCUCACAUUAGAGCAGCUUGCUUUGUCAGACAUUAGAUUUUUUGGAGUAAUUGGAGUUUUAUUGAGCAAGUUGGGAUCACAGUUGGGAAUUAGUUGACUGAAUUGUUUCAAUAAAAUUUCCCUCUCUGCUCUGACUGCCUCCAAAACAGUUUCUUUUGCCUUAGCUUUAAUCUUUUUGGUUUCUUCUCUCACUGCCUCCAUAACACUUUCCUUCAAUUUGUUAGCAAAUUUUACUCUCUGCUGUCUCGACAAAUUGAAGAAUUGAGUUGGGGAAACCCCAGCUCCAACACCUCUAACUCUCCCACCAUGCUCAGGGGUUCCCAAAGCCAAGGUCAAAAUAUCGUUGCUCUCAGAGACAGCAGAGUGCCCUCGGAAACUUGUUUUUUCAAAUCAUCCUAAAAGUGAGAGAGAGAGAGAGAGAAUGUUAGUGAGUGAACAGAUAGUAAAACAGAUUAAAUAAACAACUAUACAAAAAUAUUAACCGACGUGGUAAAGACUUUAAAAAACUGAAAUCAAUCCCCAAUAGUAACAGGGACCAUGCAGCAACGAUUUGGUUGACAGUAGUAUAGGUUGGAGAUGCUGUUGAUCAUUAGAUACUAUUUUUUUAAAUAUCAAUUCUGUAACAUCCAGACCUAAAAAAUUAAUGAUUUUGAUUUAAAAUUAAAUUUAAAUAAGCAAUUACGAAUUUACCCUUGGGGAAGGGGUAUUUUGGUAUUUUUUUUUUAUUCAGAAAGAGUUUGGGGCAGUGACUAGUAUUUUUGGGUAGAUCGUACUGAGACGAAUCCGUAGACACGCGGUAGGCCUGAAUCGGAGUUGUAACGAAGAAACGGUGACCAAAAUUAGUCCAGUGGCAAACUUGUAAAUAUUUUGAACUUGGGUGUAGAAAAAUCUGAAACUGGCUUCCUCUCUCCUGCGUGCACACGUCCUUCUCUCUCUCUCCUCUCUCUCUCCUCGAUACCAUCACUCUCUGUCUCUCUCUUCGAUUCUCUCAAUUCUGGCCACGGCAAGGGCCGGGACUGGUUCCGAUCAACUCCUCACAAAGCCCCGAACCAGAACCACCACUUUUCUUGGCCGGAAAGCUCGAGUUUCGCGUGGUAAUCUCGACUGGUUUGAACCAGUUUUCCUCCGUCAUUGUGCCGCCGCCAUCGCAGCCCAAUCUCGGUUAAACAAGUGAGGUUUCUUACUCUUUUUCCGAGCUCUAGCUGCCUGUUGGGUAGGAUUGGAUUGAUUUUUUGUCUAGGAUCCCGAUUUUGAAACCUAAGUUUUGACGAAUUUCAAAGUGAAAUUCCGGCCGGUUGCCGUCCUAAUUAGACCUCCCCGUAGUUGAAUAAAGUGAUCCUCGCUUCGAGUAGUAGCUAAGGUAGGAAUGGUGAAUUGCGGUGUGGAGUUUUUCCAUCACUGAAAAUUACUCUACACAUCCACGCGUUGCCAGGGCAUGUGGAGGCGCAUGGGCAAUGUGGUGAGACCACAUUUUAUCCUGAUGUAGUCUCCUAGUCCUCACGUGCGCGUAAGUGUGCUCGAAUUUCAAUUCGAAUGUUGUUUGACUAUCGAACGGAUUUAUGCAUAUUGUUUCUUAUCCGGGUUCAAUAUGUUCGGACCAUUGGAUCGAGUCCAAAUUUACGUAUGUUAAUCUAGGCACCCCUAGGAUCAUGUGCGAAUUCGCGGAUCGUGAAUCGGAGCCCCGAAUGUUCCGAUUCAAUAAUUUGAAGUUUAUGGUUUGCGAUAACCGUCAAUUUCUGACCAAACCUACAGGACGUGUUUCCUAAACCCGUAGUCGGACCUUAGAAUACUCGUUAUGCGUGCACGCACCGGGAACUUGAGAAAAUUAGUAUUUAAUUUGUAAAUUCCGUUUUGAAGUGAUUUUUUAUUAAUUAAGGGUGCGUAUCUCGAAAUAGGUGCUCCAUCACUAGCACGCAGCAGGUAGGACCCUCUUGAGGUCAGGCAGUGUGGGACUACUUGUGAGUGGACAUUUAUUUUAUAUAUGCAUUAUUUUCAAUGAUUGAAAGAAUAUGCAUGAAAUAUAUAUAUUUUUUGGAAUAAAGAUUGAGAAAUUCAUAUGUUGUUAUAUCAGUAUUAUUUAAUUUAGAAUUUGGUUUGAUUUGAUGAUGAGUUAUAUAAAGGUCAAGUUAUUCGUGAUUAAGUCUUGGAUGAAUUUUGGGGGAAUCGGGAAUUGAAUAUUAUGGUUUAUGGUGGGAACUUAUAUGAUUACACUGUGUGGAGUACCAUCCCCUAGUUACUAGGCUUCCCACAUGUGGCGUUGGAAAUUUUCCAGCGUGUGAUGAUGUAGUCUGCACGCAUAGGACUUAGUAUUGGAGCUACACGUGGCGUUGGAAUUUCCGGCAUGUAAGCUAUGGAGUUUCGUCCCCCGGUUGGACCGCUCAUCCCUAGACGCAGGAUAGCAACUGAAAAUCUUGCGGGUUAGCCAAACAAUCCCCCGGUUGGAUUGUUUCCCCGGUACCUAAGUAGUGUGAUAAAUAUUAUGUAUAUUUAUAGAUAUAUAUAUUUCUAUGUGUGUGUGUGUGUGUGUGUGUGUGUGUGUGUGAGUAUAAAUCAGUUAAAGUAUAUGUAGUGGUUGGGUAAGAGCAGUAUAAAUUUUGGGGAUAAAGUUUAUGGAUAGAGUGAUUGAUCUCAAAGGGUUUCGGAGAAUGAUGUUUUUGAUCAUUAAAUAAAAGUUAUGAAUCUGCAUGUCUUGAGCAUUAUUUUUAGACGGUGGGGUUAUUAUGUUGUUUUGAAUGCAAAUUUUGUUUUUCCACUCACAUGUUUUCUGUUUUGCGCCCCCCAAACAGUAGUCGCUCAAGGGAGAGUUGCAAGCCAUGUUCGAGGCCCCGAACUGUGAACAUCAGUAGAUUAGGUUUCGAGUAAUUUCUUUCUACUCAACUGGAUGUUCUUGUAAACUAAAUUCGUUAGAUGCUCUAUUAUUGCCCCUGUUAGGUUUUACUUGUGAGGCCAGAGGCCAUUUAGUUUAUACUGUUGAAUAAUAAAUGCAUGCUGCUGGUUGGGAUUAUAUUGUGCUUAUGCAGGUUGAAAUUUUUGGGAUUGUUCAAUUUACAUGGGAGACUCUAGCAAAAUUUUAGUAGAGAGUCUCGGUUUUUAAUAAGUGGGCCAGGCAUCGGGGUAAUGUCGGAAAUAAGACUGGAUUCGUCCCGGUUUCCGAAGAAUUCGAGGCGGGUCCUGUCAAGUUCCUCCUAUUAACAAUAAUAAAUUAAAUAUUUAUAUAACUGAUAACAGUUCCUCAUAUUAACAAUAAUAAAUUAGUAUUUUGUAUAAUAAACAUGUUUAAUGAAAUUCAUCUUCUUCUAGCAUGUUUAUUUAAAUUCUAAGUUUUCUGAAGAAAAAAAAAAAAAAAAAGGAGAAGGAAAUGUCCUAAAUUAAAUCUUAAAAGUUCAUUUUUUUCUGUCCCUAUAUAUUUUUUACCCAAUUAUAAUUUGAGAAAAAAAGGUGAAUUAACUGUCAUUUCACCUUCAUCAUUUUCAUGAUUUAUAUAAGAUUCUUCAAAGAUCAUUUCCACAAAAAAUUACUUAAAUUCGAAUCCAUUUAACCGUCUAAUUAAAUCGUUAGGACCGUUGAAAUAAAAUUUAAAGUGAGUUUAAAGUGAGUCCUACUAUGUCUCCCUCAAAUAAGAUCAUUUACAGGAUCUGUCGAGUCAUAUGAGAAUGUUUAGCUUUUCGAUCCCAAGAGUUUGGUUCGAUUUUCAUAUAUAUAUAUAUAUAUAUAUAUAUAUAUACAAGUCAAUUUACUUUAAAAAGUUCACCAAAUUUUAUUUUUGGUCUCGGUAGUUUGCUUGAGGGCCUUUUUCUGUCAAUCUAUUUGUUGUGAUUGAAAGAUUUUAUAUAAAACAAAAGAUAUGUUUUUAUCUUAAAAAAUGCUUAUUUUCAGAUCUUUACAUAUAGACAUACAUAUGGCCUGAGAAUUCAAGCAAUAAAGACAUAAGCUGAUGAGCAUUCAUAAUCAUUAGAAUGAGUACUGAAUGGUCAACUCUUUCAAAAUACUUCGGAAAAAAACAAAGGACAAUACUUCCUUCCUUACUCAUAAGAAGGAACUCCUUCUCACCUUCUAUUGUCCCUCAACCACAAAGUAACAAGUGUUCUCUUUUUUUAAUUGUCAAUUUUUUUUUUUUCACUUUUACUGAACCCCUAGCUUUUUACCAAAGCAAAAAACACAAAACAAUAUUCCCAUUGUUUUUUUUUUUCAUUUUGAUUUUUUUCUCAACUUUUUGAAAAAUAACAUUUUUCCUUCUUCAGUAAAAAAUUGAAGUCUUUGUGGUUAAAAGCUAAGGUUUCAGUAAAGGUUUAAAAUAAAUAAAAAGUUUUGACAAUUCAAAAAACAGAACACAUAUCACUUUGUGGUUGAGCCGCAAUAGAAAGUAAGAAAGAAUUCCACCUUACCCAUAAGGAGGGAAGUAUUGUCAAAAAGAAAACAUCUUAAAAAACACACAGAAAACCCACCAUCACUACUUAAAAGAAGUAGAGAAGUCCAACAUUCUGAUUUUUAUACACCUACGUGACGUGAGCAUUCAAUAAUCAUCCUACACAUAUGUUGAUGUGAGCAUUCAAAAUCAUUAGAAUGAUUUAAUUGAAGACUCAACGUACGGACGUCUUUUUCACUUAGAUUCCCUUCCUGUACAAACUUGAAUCAGUUCCUCCACGACCCCAUCAAUCUCUUCAUCCUCUUUCUUGUUCACGUUGUCGCUUAUUUUCAAUGCCUUUUUUCUCACUCCCUCUCCAAAUUUCUCCACAACCACAUCUCUAAUCACCUUUGCGACCUCUUCUCUUUGCAAACUUCCUUCACCUGUUCUCUUAACCUCCACACCAACACCCACCUCCUCCACUAGUCUAGCGUUGAUCGGCUGGUCAAGAUGCAUAGGCAUGGCUAUAAUUGGAACACCAAACUUGAUGCUCUCCAACACUGAGUUCCAUCCGCAGUGACUCACAAACCCCCCAACACUAGAAUGCUGCAGUAUCUUUGCCUGUGGGGCCCAACCCUCCAUUAUCACUCCCUUCUCUCCCACCCUCUGUAAAAACCCUUCUGGUAACACCUCUUCAACCCUAGUACUUCUCUCCUCCUUAGAAAAUCUUAUAACCCAAAUGAAGCUCACUUUGCUAAGCUCUAAUCCGUGAGCUAUCUCUUCUAUUUGCUCCUUGGACAGAAAGUACUCACUGCCAAAGCAAACAUACACAACAGAAGACCUUUCCAUUUUGUUCAGCCAUUUCAUGAUCCAUGUUUCCUCAUCAACUUUUUGAUCCAUUGGCUCUUGAACAAGCGUGCCAACAGGCACGAUCUUCUUCCCCGUUAAAUCAGAGAGAUAAUCAAUAUAUUUUUCUUCAAUCUCGCUGGAUGUCUUGACCAAAAUGAUGUUACAAGAUCGAGCACUGCAUUGCUGAACACGGUCUCCGUCUUUGAUGCCAUUUGCUGAAGAUUCCAACAAAUUGUUGAACUUUUCAGCUUCGUAAUGUUGAAGAUAAAUCGAAGGAAAAGGAAACUUGACACUAGGGUUCUUGAGAUGUUGAAUACUAAAUGAAGUAAAGGCAGCACCCAUGGUGGUGAAUUCAAUGGAUGGAAAAUUUUGCAAUGAAGCUAGAGAGGGCGCCCAUGGUUGAAGAACAUCAUAUAUGAGCAAAUCUGGACUUAGGGUUUUGAGGAUGUUGGAGAAGUUGUUGCUGGACAUGCUGAAAGCCGUUUUGAGAGUGGACAUGAGAUGGGGAGGGAGGCCAUUGGUGGUGUGGUAGUGCGGUGGGAGUUCAGGCAAGUCAUCAUGUGGAAGAUGGAGUUCCACAAAUUCAAUGCAAUGAGAAUAUUUUUGGGAGAGUUUAGGCUUGAUGGAGCUGAGAUUUACAGGCGUGGAACAAAUAAAGAUGUGAAAAUUUCUCUUGGUGGUCAGCUUCUUGGCUAGCUCUAGGUAGGGAGAUAUAUGGCCGUGAGCUAGCCAUGGAAGCAAAAGAAUAGUAAGGCUUCUUUGGUCAGAGAAAACCAUAUUUUGUUUUCCUUUGACUUGUUUUCCUUUGACUCUUUUGCUUGAGGUUGCUCGAUUAUAGGCUUAUUGGUAGUUUGUUUGUGGCUAGCUCUAUGCAUAUAUAUAUAUAUAUAUAUAUAUAUAUAUAUAUAUAUAUACACACACAAAAACGCGUGAUGAUUGGAACAUGCACACGUAAGUUCCAGAGAGUGAUGAUUGGCCUAUGAUAAAGACUCGAAACAAGAAUAGUUUAAAUUUUCUUCUUUGUUUGGCUUGAUAUAAGACGAAUGCACCAAACAAACCGACUAAAUGCCGACACAAUAAUUAGGUACGUAAUAAUAUCAACUUUCAUUAUAUAGAUCUGAGAAACAAAAAGUUGAACUUUGAUGACAAGCGAUAUUAAGGAAGGGCACAAUCGAACUUAGGAUCUCGAAUGUUGAAGUACAUGCUCUUAACAACUUGAGCUAUAAGGUAUUUGUAAUGACAAUUUAUGGUUUUAAUUAUACUUUUGAAUAGUUGCUUCCUUCUCUUUCAUUUUUAUUUUUAUUUGUUUAUAUUUAACUCUAAUUUUAUUUAUAUUUCUGGUCAAGGUAUAAAGACUUUGAAUCUCUCUCCAAUUAUUUUUCACAGCCGAAACUCCUUUAGUUUCCACAAAUCUUUUUAAACAUUUCAGGCAUAUGUAUGUUUCCGAGUCGGAUGGUUCACGUAACCAAGAAAUUUAAACUUGUUUUUGUUUGUUCCUCCGAAGAAAGCACAACAAAAGGACAACCUACAACCAAUACUUCUCAUUGAAUUUGUUGCCGUGAAUGAUUAGGACUCUGCCCAAACUAGUAGUUGCGUUUCUGAAUUGUUUGAAAACACAUAUCAAAUUAUGAUUUCUCCUCCCCGAAAGAAAAAUUGACGUAGAAGUAUCAUGAUCUUGAUGACACAAAUUAGAAUCUAGGGUUUUCGAAGUGCCUAAUGGACAACUACUUAUUUAGAAAUAUAUAUAUUUUUGUGGCUAAAAUUUAAAUUUAUUAUAUAUAUUCUCAAUGCAGAAACACAUAAAUCUAAGUUCGAAUUCAUCCUUUUUUUGUUUUUUUUUUUUUGUUUUUUUAACCCAGAAGAAAAAUUGAGUCCCACUCUGCUGUGUAGAAUGCGCGUUUAGUAUAGAUUUUUUUAUUUUUGAGUCUCUUAUCUGGUUCCCGAGCUUCUACAUUUAGGUCUCGUGUAUUUAUCUGCAUUUUCUUAAAUCUAAAUCACUCAAACAAUCUAACCACUUAACAAAUGACACGUACUCAAACUUAAAAUCAGAAUGGAUGGAGUAGAGGCUUACACCGAUGAUUCUUGGUCAAGACUUGAGAGACAGAUGGAGACGAGGCAUGACAUAAAGUCUGAAGAAGAGAAACGAGGAAGCUUCAUUUAGAUGGUGGUGUAAGUGCAUACGUAAAGUCCAGAUUCAACAGGAAAGCAUCUUAAACGUAAAGAAAAUAAGUUUACCAGAAGCAAAAGAGAUACUGAAGUAAUUGUUUAUCAACUGAACUUAAACGAAAUAUUAACUCUUUGUUGUGCCAUAAGCACAAGAUCUUAUGAAAAAAAAUUCAAGAUAAACCAUAUAAUAUUGGGAGAUUCACGUUUAUACCGAAUAUAGGAAUUCAAAUUAUAAAAUAAAUAAAUAAAUAAAAUAAUCGAUAUGAAAUGGACUUUAGAAACACACACAAAGCCUAUUUACAACAUAACAAAAAGGUUUUUCCCUUCUUUUAAAUUACAAAACUGCCAUUGAUUUCUUAAAACAAACCCAACUCCAAAACCUCAUUAAAAAAGCACAAAACACUCAAUAGGGUGUCAAAGUAAUUUAAUAAUAAAAAAUAAAUUCAAUAAGGCCAAUUGAAUUUUUUGGAUUUUUUUUUGGGUUUGUUUAUAGAAAUUAAUGGUGUAGGGUUUAUCUAUAUUAUUGGUGUUAAGAAUGAAUAAUGACUAAAUAUCUCUAUAAUAUUUUCUAACUCACAAAAUAAUAUAGAAAAUAAAUGCAAGAACAAGAAAAUAGCAAUAUGCAAUUUAACGAAGCUGCUUACAAUCAGUGCAAAUGAGCAAACAAAUUCGCUAUUAAUUUAUGAAGUGUUUUUGUAUUUACAAUACCGCCUCUUGAAUGUCCACCAUACAAUAAUAUAGUUGCAUCAUUAAAAACUUUACUUGAAAAAUCGUUUGGGACAAAACUUAAGCUAAGAGAAAAAGAGUGCAACACAAAUGAUAUUGACAUCACAUAUGUCUCUCCUACAGAGUGAGCUUUGGUGAUGCUUGUAUAAAAAUUGCUUUCACAUCAUUAUUGGGAGAUGUAUGUAUGUCAUCAAUCAUUUGAAUCUUGUUGAGGUUAAAGUAAAACCAAAAAAAUAUCAAGGGCCAUUUUCAUAUAGUUUUUCACAAUAAAAAUUAACAAAAUAACUUCAUGUUCUUUAAUAUCAUCAAAAAAAUAAUAUAAACAAACUCAUAGUUUACCUUUUCAAUGAUAAGUGUUUGGAAAAUUUACAUGGAAUAAUAUUUGGUAUGCUAUGCUAGCAUCUCAUAAGCUCUUCAAGAGACCUAAAUUUUAUGAUAACUUCUUAAAAAAAUUUGAAUACUUUUCAACAAUAUUAAACUUGAAUUCAAACUCAUAAUUCAAUCAAAGUACUCAUUGAGGCAAUUUAGAUCAUUUUCAUUUUAAGAAAAUUGGGUGCAUACAUUGAGCUUCAUGCCCUUUACCUUCUUAGAGAUUUUCUUCGAGCAAUUUAUAUUGCAUGACAGAUUAUAUCUCUUAGAAUUUGUUCUUAUGUAUUCUUCAAGAGAUCUCUUCUUGCAAUAUGCUUCAAACACUUCAUAAUCUUUAUAGAUUUUUCAUGUAGAUUUAAGGUCUCCAUGAAUAUUGAGAUUGAAACAAGGAGUAAAAUAAAAGUUUAAGAAAAAUUUUCCCUGAUUAUUUUGUAAUUAUAAUGUUGGUGAAAACCUAAUUUCCUUUCUGAAAUUUGUGAAAUUUGUUAUUUGGCUAAGCUAAAAGUAUAAUAUUGACAAUAAAACGUAUACGAAAGUUUCUCUUUGGCUGGCUUCUUGGCUGGCUCUAGGAAGGGACAUUGCGGCCAUGAGAUAACCAUAGGAAGCAUAAUAAGAAUGCUUGGAUGCUCUGAACAAUCCAUUUUCUGACUCUUUUUCUUGAGGCGGUUGUUUUCUUAGGCCCAUCAGAGUUUAUGGUCGACAGAUAAGCUUCAAACACAUGCAUUGGUCGUGUCAGUUGCGAUAAACUCUUCCCAACAAUCUGAGACUCACAUCACUCCAAACACAUAAAAAGAAGUGGAAAUUUGCUAUUCUUUGUCUUUGUUUGGACAGCUAAUAGCAAAGCAUUGGAAACAUCGAAAAAAGAAAGUUAAUUAAUUUAAGAAAAACAAAGAAAUCCUUCUUUUUUUUUCUUUUUUUUUUCAGCAAACCGAAACAUAAAAUCCGAAAAAGAAGAAGGCAUGUCCAAAAUUACAUCUUGAAUUUAUUUUGGAGAUUCACUAUUAUACUCAAAUUAUAUAUGAAAUAAAUUUUAGAAACACACAUGACGCCAAUUUACAAUAUAACAAAAAAACUUUUAACUUCUUGUAAAUUACAAAAUUGUUAUCGAUUUCUUAAAACAAGCCUAAUCCUAAAACCUCAUAAAAAAAAAAUCAAAACACUCAAUAAGGCAUCAAAGUAAUUUAAUAAUUAAAAUUAAAUUUAAUAGGGUCAUCUGUCAUUUUUUGGAUUUUUUUCGAAGUUGUUUAUAAAAAUUAAAAUAAUGUAUAGUUUGUUUAUAAAAAUUAAAUGAUGUAGAGUUUCUUUAUAUAAUUAAUGUUAAUAAUGAGUAUAUGAAUAAAUGUCACUUUUCUUUAUUAACCAUUUAUAAUAUAUGAACUCAAGACUUCCUAUCGAACACCGAAUGGUCUUUCCAUUCCUUGUUAAUUCAAAGUCUGAAAAUGUUCGGUGUCAGCUCAUGAAUUUAAAGGCUUAAAGGCUCAAAACUUGAACGAAUAUGAAAGAAAAAAGUCGUUCACCGUUCAUCCUCUUCCUGCAGCUGUGCAUGCUAAUCACCCACUGAAUUAAACAUACAAAUACGCUUUAUGUUUUCUCAAAUUGUUCUUUGAACUAAGUAGAGGUUGGAAUACACUCGGGGUCAACAUUGUUCAAAUACAAAACACUUCUUAAUUUUAUAUUUUAUCAAAACAGAUCGAAACUUCAUUCAAACUGAGAACCUAGAUUACAAAACUACCAGAAAAACUGGAAUCUGCACUGUGGCCUCAUUAAAACCUUGCUUUAAAAAACUCCUAAAAGAGGAGAAUUCAGUCAAGAAAAAAGAGUACCACAGCAAGUGAAAUCCGAUAUCAUACUUCAUUCCUUUCUCAUACAAAGUUGAAUCAACUGCUCUACCACCCCAUCUAUCUCUUCAUCCUCUCUCUUUUUCAUGUUGUCUCUCAAUUCCAUUGCCUUUCUUUUCAAACCCUGUCCAUUUUCUUCCACCACCACAUCUCUGAUUACUUUUGCUAUCUCGUCCCUUUUCAGCCUCCCGUUCUCGUUGCCGCCUCCUCCCAUUCUCUUAACCUCCACACCAACUCCAACGUCCUCUACUAUUCUAGCGUUAAUAGGCUGGUCAAGAUGCAUAGGCAUGGCUACAAUUGGAACGCCAAACUUGAUGCUCUCCAACACUGAGCUCCAUCCACAGUGGCUCACAAACCCACCAGCACUAGAAUGCUUCAAUACUUUUGCCUGUGGAGCCCAACCAUCCACUAUUAUUCCCUUCUCCCCCACCCUCUCAAAAAACCCUUCUGGUAAUACCUCUUCAACCCUAGUACCUUUCUCUUCCUUAGGAAAUCUUAUAACCCAAAUAAAACUCACUUUGCUAAUCUCUAGCCCAUGAGCUAUCUCUUCUAUUUCCUCCUUGGAUAAAAAGUACUCACUGCCGAAGGAAACAUACACCACCGAAGAUCUUUCUCUAGUGUUUAGCCACUUCAUGAUUUUUGUUUCCUCCGAAUCCACUUCUUGCUCUAUAAGGUCUUGAACAAGUGAACCAACAGGCACAAUCUUCUUCCCAAUUAGAUCAGAGAGAUAAUCAAUAUAUUUUGCUUCAAUCUCUCUAGAACUCUUAACUAAUACGAUCUUACAAGAACGAUCGCUGCACUGCUUAGCACGGUCUCCAUCACUGAUGCCAUUUGAUGAAGAUUCUAACAACAUCUUGAUCUUACUAGUCUCGUAAUAGAUUGAAGGAAACGGAAAUUUGACACCAGGUUUCUCGCCAUGGUGGGUACAAACUGACAUCAUGGCAGCACUGGUUGUGAAGAACUCGAUGGCUGGAAUGUUUUGUAACAAAGCUAGAGAGGGUGCCCAUGGUUGAAGAAAAUCAUAAAUUAGCAAAUCCGGGUGUAGGGUUUUGAGGAUGUUGGAGAAGUUAGGGCUUGCCCUGUCGAAGGCGGUUUUGAGAGUGGACAUGAGGUGGGGUGGGAGGCCAUUGGUAGUGUGGUAAUGAGGUGGGAGUUCAGGCAAGUCGUCAUAUGGAAGAUGUAGUUGCACGAGUUCAAUGCAACGAGAGUAUUUUUCAGAGAGUUGUGGCUUGAUGGAUCUGAGAUUUACAGGUGUGGAACAAAAAUAGAUGUGAAAAUUUCUGUUGGUCAGCUUCUUUGCUAGCUCUAGGUAGGGAGAUAUGUGUCCAUGAGCUAACCAUGGAAACAUAAGAACACUGAAUUUUCUUUGCUGAGAAGAAUCCAUUUUUUCAGACUCUCUCCAUUCAGGUCGUUUGUUUUAUAGAUCUAAUAAGUGAGAUGAAAAGAUGACAAAAUAUAUACAGAUGAGUCAUGUGAAUCUAGGUUUUUUCUUCGUAGUCAGAAGAGUCGUGCGUAAGUGCAUGCGUGUAUACAAGACAAAAGACAUACGUUAGACUUCUUUAUCUUCGUUCGUGCUGAUAUAUAUUAAGAAACAGACCCUUGCAACUCUAAUAUCCUAGACAAAAAUUCAAUUUUAAAAACUGAUGCUAUGUCCUGUGUUUUCCUAAACAAUCCCUAUUUUCUGUAGUCUUUCAAUUAUUCUAAAUUUGCUCAACAUUCAAUAUAACAUCAAUUUCUUAUAAAUCCCUGAACUUUCUCUAGCAUUCAAAAUUUUAAAACAUUCUCAAAGUAAUUCGGCUUCAAAGGAAUGGUAAACUUAGUAAUGGCUUCUUUUCCCCUUUCACGAUGCAGUGGCUGAGAGUUCUGAGAACGGAAGUUGUAGUUGGGUGACUUUGAUUCUUUUUAGCUGAUGCCUACUGCUUGAAUGAAAUGGAGCAAAGAGGUCAUCAGUACUUACACUGCUACUAGGAGGGUAAGCUUGAUUAUGUGUAUACUAUAACUUUAGAGUUUUGGUAUUUGGAAUGAUGAUAAUUUCAAUGUUACAUUUAUUUUGUUUACUACACUAUGUUUCUUUGUUGAACUCAAAUGUCAUGCUGAUAAAAAGAAAUAUAUUGUUGUAUGAAAUUGAAUCAAUAAGGAAAUUGACUGAGAUUUAAAAAUAAAAUUACACAGACACAGCAUGCAAUAUUAAUGCAAUAUUAAAUCUGUGUUAAAUAAUGUAGGACAGAUAGAUUAGCUGAUCGAGGAGCAGCUGGAUAAGCCCGUGCAUGUCGUUGUGCCAGAAAAGCCCAAUUCGUGCAAGUAUGGGCCCUGAACUCUUAAUUAGGCUAUGAUCUGUCAUUUUGAAGAGAACGGCGUGACAAGUGCAACUCACUGCUGUAUUGUGACAUACGGACUAUUUUAGUCAAAUUCUAUCAUUUACAUUGCAUUUUCAGCAUUUAAAGUUUUUUAAAAAAUUUGGAAACUUUUGUUAUUUUCCUUUUUUGUUUUCUAAUUAGCUUUCUUAGCAAGUCUAGGGGUUCUCUUGUAUAAAAGGAAUGCAUUGGAGCAUCCUAAACUAUUCAGUUUAUUAUCAAUCAAAUACUUUUGAGUUAUACUAAAUUUCGGAUGGAUCCGGCAUGUUACUUGCAGGGUUAUCAUUCGAUCUCCUUAUUCCCUAUAUCUCGCUACGUCAGCUGUCAUGGCCAACUGGGGAAGUCGUGUAAUGGAUAUCACUUAUGGUGUGCACCAUGUGUAGUAAAUAGUUGUCCAAAACCUUUCCCGCAGCUCUAGUGCAAGGGUGUAUUGUGUGCACGUUUGAGGCGUGCAUAUAGGUUCCGUAAAUUUCAUGAGCUUUUUAUGGCUAGUUCUUUCGGGAAGUGCAUAGGGAGUGAUCAACUUCUUGGUCACUAACCUGUUUGAUAUUCUUAGUAAUGGGGUGUUAGUUGGAUUGACUUAGACUUUUAGUUUGCUCUCAAGUGGUCCCGAGUUGAAGCCCCCACGGUAUCCGUGUGUGUGAAUUUUCCCCUUCCCUUUCCUAAUUUAACAACAACAACAAAAAAUACUUAUUUGAUAUCCUGGUUUAUUUAUUUAUUCUUUUUUAAAAAAAAAUUUAAAACUUUUUUUAUUAAAAGGGGUAAUAUCAUACUAAACUCACACACACUACAUAGAUGAUAGGACUUGAAUUCACCAUAAUCGUUUUUUAGGAGCAAUUACUUAUGGUAAACAAUUACUUCAAACCACUACACUAGUAGUCAUUAGCGGCGUUUUAUAUUCUUGCACAAGCUAUGUGGUCACUAAUAUUUUGUGUAUUAAGGGCUUGUGGUGUUUCAAUGUUGAUAAAAAUGCCAAAUCAGAAUUCAAUACAAGAGUACAACCACCUAAAGGAUAGCAAUGAACAGAUACUAUUUUAUCCACACAAAAAAAAGUUUAUCUGAUAUGAGCAUUAUUCAAAAUCAUUAGAAAAUGAGUACUGAAUGCUAAAAAGACGCUAAAACGUAGAGUCAAAGCCAACAUUCACAUGAUCGGCCAUCAGAUACGCUUAGCAUUCAAAAUCAUUAAAAUUAUUAUUGAAGUCUCAACUCCUUUUCACUUAAAAGUAGAUAUUUGUUUCCCUUCUCCUACAAAUUGCAUCAAUUCCUCCACGACCCCAUCUAUCUCUCCAUCUUUGUUUUUCAUGUUGUCUCUUAAUUCCAAUGCCUUUUUUCUCAUGCCCUCUCCAAUUUUCUCCACAACCACCUUUCUGAUCACCUUCGCCAUCUCUUCUCUUUGCAAAAUUCCUUCUCCUGUUCUUUUAACCUCCACACCAACACCCACCUCCUCUACUAAUCUAGCGUUAAUUGGCUGGUCAAGAUGCAUAGGCAUGGCUAUAAUUGGAACACCAAACUUGAUGCUCUCCAACACUGAGCUCCAUCCACAGUGACUCACAAACCCACCAAC
rnacentral:lncRNA from 1 species